GAAUUGCGAUAAGUAAUGUGAAUUGCAGAUUUCCAGUGAAUCAUCGAAUCUUUGAACGCAUCUUGCGCUCCUUGGUAUUCCGAGGAGCAUGCCUGUUUGAGUGUCAUUUAAUUCUCAACCAUCUCUCUCUUUCGAGUAUGGAUUGGAUUUGGGGGUUGCUGGUGGCCUUGACCUGUCAGCUCCUCUUAAACGCAUUAGCGAUCGAGUUGGCUAGUCUUUGACGCACACGGCCUUGGACGUGAUAAUGAUCGUCCUGGCUGGAAUGUCUUUCCUAGACUAUGUACAUAGAUGGCUUCUAAUUGUGAUGGAGGAAAGAAGUUGGCUUGAUGUGAGUCUAUUUUAUCAAGCUUAGCUACUAGUUAGUCGAAAGGCUGGCGAAUGCAAGCAAGAUGAAAGGGAAUCGUGUCUGCUUGACCUUUCUUUUCAACUUAAAAUUAAGAGACUUGACCUCAAAUCAGGUAGGACUACCCGCUGAACUUAA
rnacentral:rRNA from 1 species